rnacentral:misc_RNA from 1 species
UAAACGUAAACAUCUGGCUAACGCACACAACGACACCUCCUCUUGCCGCUAGAAAACCAACGAGGGACGAGGAUGUGCGUACGUACGCAUACAAUUUGGCGAUGCUCAUCUCUUUGUUGUGUGUCUUGACUUGUUCUCCCUGUGUCUCUCUAACCGCGUUUUGUGCGCCAGCUGUGUCGCGCGGACACGCCUAGACCUCCCCUUUUUUUUCCCUCGCGAAACCUGUGUCUCUUCGUCUGCUCAUGCGCGUGUGUAUGCGUGUGGAUACGCAUGGAUGGAAAUGGGGCACAGGGCUCUUUUAUUGUCUCAUGUGGUCUCCUUUGACGCACUUCGCAUGCGUCGAUGAGGACACUCCACGCUCUCGCACGCUCGUUUUACACACGUCGAUGCAUGUGUACGACGAGCAUGACGCCCGAAAGGGUGAGCGACGGUCGCGGCUGCAGGCUGUGCCGAGGCAGCGGCGUACUCAGCUGGAAUGCACGCACCUUCGGGUAAGACAAGGAGACACAUGAAGUCGCAACGCCAUAAUCAACAAAUACAUUGUAGGUGAU